AGAGUUUGAUCCUGGCUCAGGACGAACGCUGGCGGCGUGCCUAAUACAUGCAAGUCGAGCGGAUGACGAAGGAGCUUGCUCCUUCUGAUUCAGCGGCGGACGGGUGAGUAACACGUGGGCAACCUGCCCUGUAGAUUGGGAUAACUCCGGGAAACCGGGGCUAAUACCGAAUAAUCCACCGGACCUCAUGGUCUGGUGUUGAAAGACGGCAUCUCGCUGUCACUACAGGAUGGGCCCGCGGCGCAUUAGCUAGUUGGUGAGGUAACGGCUCACCAAGGCGACGAUGCGUAGCCGACCUGAGAGGGUGAUCGGCCACACUGGGACUGAGACACGGCCCAGACUCCUACGGGAGGCAGCAGUAGGGAAUCUUCCACAAUGGACGAAAGUCUGAUGGAGCAACGCCGCGUGAGUGAAGAAGGUUCUCGGAUCGUAAAACUCUGUUGUGAGGGAAGAACAAGUACCGGAGUAACUGCCGGUACCUUGACGGUACCUCAUUAGAAAGCCACGGCUAACUACGUGCCAGCAGCCGCGGUAAU
rnacentral:rRNA from 1 species